rnacentral:misc_RNA from 1 species
GCAAACUUGGUCAUUUAGAGGAAGUAAAAGUCGUAACAAGGUUUCCGUAGGUGAACCUGCGGAAGGAUCAUUACCGAGUGCGGGCUCUCAGAGCCUAACCUCCCACCCGUGUAGACUGAGACCCUGUUGCUUCGGCGGGCCCACCGGGAGCCUCUAGGCCCUGGUCGCCGGGGGGCAUCUUUGCCCCCGGGCCCGCGCCCGCCGGAGAGCCUAUGAACCCUGUAUGAAUUGGGCGUCUGAGUGAGAGAUUGAAUCAUUAAAACUUUCAACAACGGAUCUCUUGGUUCCGGCAUCGAUGAAGAACGCAGC